GAGCCAGGAGCUGGAGGAUGAAGCCGCAUGCAGCUUCUGUCUCUUGUGCCUCCCAGAGAGCACCUGUGAUUUUUGCCGUCUCACAUGCAACAGUGGGAGCUGCAGCACUGGAAAUAAUCUAAUGAUUGUUUUGACUCGCAGCUGCCGCACAUCACAUACCAUCAGACACACAGAGACCAACUGACUCAGCAGCGUCUGCAGCAGUUAUGUCGUGGCUGUUCUUGGACUGGUUCGUCCCACUCUACCUGCUGGUGUCGGUUUUGGUGCUGGCAGGCUUCGGAGCGUGCCUGUACUUCCUAGAGCCCGGGCUGCAGGAUGCCCACAAGUGGAGCAACAAAACAGUCCGGCAUCACCCGCUGGUGGCCAGUGUGAACUGCAGAGAUGACGAUAGCAAUGCCCUGAUAUGAUCAAGAGGGCGAGGCGGCAGGCCAUCUGGACAGGGGUGCUGCCAGGACACCGGAGGGAUGGGAGCCAACACCUUAAAGAUGGAGAAAGAAAAAGAAAGAGACAAAAGAUGGAGGAAAGAUUAUCUGAUAAUAAUGCAAGUCCUGUCCUAUCAUUCCAACUUUUCUCUGAUCUCUGUAGAUUUUUGCUGUAGACAUCAGGGAAAACUGAAGCAGUGGGAGAUUUAAAGAAUUUUUAAAAUGUAUCCAAAUGCACAAGGAGGAGAAGACUUACAUGCAGAAAGAGAUUGUGAGGUGAUUGGAGGACAUGCUGCCCUUUAGAAACGUGUUUGAAACCCAAUGUAAAUUUCAUGCCAUCUUAUACUUGUGCCAACUUUUACAUACGUUUUGUAAUUUGACAAUCACUUUACAUAUAUCAUGGAGUUUACUUAUAUUGUGCAUUUGAUUAGUGAAGUGAAUGACAAUAAGUGCAAUGAAUUUGUUGCCACUGAGGAGGGUUUUUAAUCCUCUCUGUGGCGAUGUCGGCAUGGCAGCUGCUGAGAAGCAUGUAGAUUGUUAGUGCCACUGUGCCAAAAUGGUGUAGUUGUGACUUUAUUAAAAUAAUGUGUACUGAAUAAAUGCGACUGAUUUAUUCAAGGUGCCAAGAUUAUCCUAGAUGGACCAAGAUUACAGAAAACUAGUAUUUGGUAAUGCUAUAAGUGUAUUUUUUUUUGUUUUCAUUGUUUUUACUUGACAGCAUGGUGAGGAAACUGUGGGUGUGUAACAACCCUUUUUUGAUGAUCAUAUGCUUCCUUUGUUCAUACAAAAAUAAAACAGUUUAAUCUUCA